rnacentral:rRNA from 1 species
GUGGGGAAUCUUCCGCAAUGGACGAAAGUCUGACGGAGCGACGCCGCGUGAGUGAAGAAGGCCUUCGGGUCGUAAAGCUCUGUCAUCAGGGACGAACGGCCGGUGGAGUGGAAAGCCACCGGAUUGACGGUACCUGAGAAGGAAGCCACGGCUAACUACGUGCCAGCAGCCGCGGUAAUACGUAGGUGGCAAGCGUUGUCCGGAAUUAUUGGGCGUAAAGCGCGCGCAGGUGGGAUCUUAAGUCCAUUUUUAAAGUUCGGAGCUCAACUCCGUGAUGGGAUGGAAACUGGGAUUCUUGAGUACCGGAGAGGAAAGCGGAAUUCCCCGUGUAGCGGUGAAAUGCGUAGAUAUGGGGAGGAACACCAGUGGCGAAGGCGGCUUGCUGGACAGUAACUGACGUUGAGGCUCGAAAGCGUGGGGAGCAAACAGGAUUAGAUACCCGGGUAGUCC